rnacentral:rRNA from 1 species
GAAAGCCUGACAGAGGUUACUCUGGAGUGAUUUCCGUUAAGGAGAUCUUUUGGCACCNUCUAAAAAUGGUGCAGAAUAAGGGGUGGGCAAGUCUGGUGUCAGCCGCCGCGGUAAUACCAGCACCCCGAGUGGUCGGGACGUUUAUUGGGCCUAAAGCAUCCGUAGCCGGUUCUACAAGUCUUCCGUUAAAUCCACCUGCUUAACAGAUGGGCUGCGGAAGAUACUAUAGAGCUAGGAGGCGGGAGAGGCAAGCGGUACUCGAUGGGUAGGGGUAAAAUCCGUUGAUCCAUUGAAGACCACCAGUGGCGAAGGCGGCUUGCCAGAACGCGCUCGACGGUGAGGGA